rnacentral:lncRNA from 1 species
CACCACCUGGCCUUCUGGGUUCAAGCAGCAGACAUAUAUCCUUAAUUAAUCUGGUGGAGGACCUGUCACUCCACAGCAAGUGAUACGGUUUCCUUCUGUGUCCCCACCCAAGUCUCAUGUUGAAUUGUAAUCCCCAGUGUUGGAGGUGGGGCCUGGUGGAAGGUGACUGGACCAUGGGGGUGGUUUCUAAGGGUUUAGCACCGUUCCCUGAGAGCUGUCUCAUAAUAUAGUUCUCACAAGAUCUGGUUGUUUAAAAGUAUGUGGCACCAACUUCCACUCUCUCUCUUCUUCCUGCUCCAGCCUUAUAAGACAUGCCUGCUUCCCCUUUACCUUCUGCCAUGACUGCAAGUUUCCUGAGGCCUCCCCAGCCAUGCUUCCUGUACAGCCUGUAGAAUCAUGAGCCAAUUAAGCCUCUUUUCUUUAUAAAUUACCCAGUCUCAGGUAUUUCUUUAUAGCAGUGUGGAACAAACAAAUACAGCAAGUAUUCUCCAAACCCUUAAACUAGAUCAGAUUUCCCUGCUAUAAAAUUUCAUAGCACCAUUUCUCUUUUUUUCUUGCAUACCAUCGAAGUUUUAAUCUCAUAUUUAUUUAUGUAGUUGUUGCUUAGUAACUAUCUUCUCCUUUAGAUAUAAGUUCCAUGAAGGCAAGGUAUGCCCACCUAGAUUAGUAUCUGGCACAUAUAAGAUAUGCAUUGGAUAUCAUUUCAAUAAAGAAAUUUAUAGGCAUAAACUUCCUAAUGGGGUGCUUUUAAACACUAUUUUACAUUUCUAAGAAAGAUUGUGUUGUCUUCCUCUUAAAUGUAGUAAAAGAUGGACAGGUAUUCAGCAGCAUCAAAGGCAUAGCUGAAGUCUACACCCUGGCCUGAGGAGAGAAAGAUGCUUCCAGCCUUGUAAUCUUGAGAAUUGUUAUAAAAUGAUUGUUUGGAAUUUCUGUUUUUGGCAAUGCCAGGAUGCCACAGGAGAUUGAGUCUAAAGUUUGCAUGAUCCAUUUCAAUCCAUUUGAGCAAGAACCAAAUGACUAUCAUUGAGGCAACAAAAUACACAAAUUGCGUCCCACAUACACUAAUGAAUCACAUUUAUUGAUUUGCACAUGUUGAACCAGCCUUGCAUCCUAGGGAUGAAACCUAUUCGAUCAUGGUGGAUUAGC